rnacentral:rRNA from 1 species
UACGGAGGGUGCAAGCGUUAUCCGGAUUCACUGGGUUUAAAGGGUGCGUAGGCGGGCAUUUAAGUCAGUGGUGAAAUACCUGAGCUUAACUUGGGAACUGCCAUUGAUACUAUUUGUCUUGAAUGUCGUGGAGGUUAGCGGAAUAUGUCAUGUAGCGGUGAAAUGCUUAGAUAUGACAUAGAACACCUAUUGCGAAGGUAGCUAACUACGCGAAUAUUGACACUGAUGCACGAAAGCGUGGGGAUCAAACAGG